UUAAACUGAAGAGUUUGAUCCUGGCUCAGAUUGAACGCUGGCGGCAUGCCUAACACAUGCAAGUCGAACGGUAACAGGCCGCUGUGAUCCCUUCGGGGUGAACUUGGCGCUGACGAGUGGCGGACGGGUGAGU
rnacentral:rRNA from 1 species